GAUGAACGCUGGCGGCGUGCCUAAUACAUGCAAGUCGAGCGAACAGACGAGGAGCUUGCUCCUCUGACGUUAGCGGCGGACGGGUGAGUAACACGUGGAUAACCUACCUAUAAGACUGGGAUAACUUCGGGAAACCGGAGCUAAUACCGGAGAAGAUAUUGAACCGCAUGGUUCAAUAGUGAAAGUCGGUUUUGCUGUCACUUAUAGAUGGAUCCGCGCCGCAUUAGCUAGUUGGUAAGGUAACAGCUUACCAAGGCAACGAUGCGUAGCCGACCUGAGAGGGUGAUAGGCCACACUGGAACUGAGACACGGUCCAGACUCCUACGGGAGGCAGCAGUAGGGAAUCUUACGCAAUGGGCGAAAGCCUGACGGAGCAACGCCGAGUGAGUGAUGACGGUCUUCGGAUCGUAAAACUCUGUUAUUAGGGAAGAACAAAUGUGUAAGUAACUAUGCACGUCUUGACGGUAACUAAUCAGAAAGCCACGGCUAACUACGUG
rnacentral:rRNA from 1 species